rnacentral:rRNA from 1 species
CCGAGUCUUAACCGGGCGUUAAGUUGCAGGGUAUAGACCCGAAACCCGGUGAUCUAGCCAUGGGCAGGUUGAAGGUUGGGUAACACUAACUGGAGGACCGAACCGACUAAUGUUGAAAAAUUAGCGGAUGACCUGUGGCUGGGGGUGAAAGGCCAAUCAAACCGGGAGAUAGCUGGUUCUCCCCGAAAGCUAUUUAGGUAGCGCCUCGUGAAUUCAUCUCCGGGGGUAGAGCACUGUUUCGGCUAGGGGGCCAUCCCGGCUUACCAACCCGAUGCAAACUGCGAAUACCGGAGAAUGUUAUCACGGGAGACACACGGCGGGUGCUAACGUCCGUCGUGAAGAGGGAAACAACCCAGACCGCCAGCUAAGGUCCCAAAGUCAUGGUUAAGUGGGAAACGAUGUGGGAAGGCCCAGACAGCCAGGAUGUUGGCUUAGAAGCAGCCAUCAUUUAAAGAAAGCGUAAUAGCUCACUGGUCGAGUCGGCCUGCGCGGAAGAUGUAACGGGGCUAAACCAUGCACCGAAGCUGCGGCAGCGAACGUAUCACCCAAGACAACUUUACGGAGUUGACGAUUGACGGAGCGAAGCGACGUCAAAGCGUUCAUUAAAGUCGAGUUGGCUUAGGGAUACGUUCGUUGGGUAGGGGAGCGUUCUGUAAGCCUGUGAAGGUGUGUCGUGAGGCAUGCUGGAGGUAUCAGAAGUGCGAAUGCUGACAUAAGUAACGAUAAAGCGGGUGAAAAGCCCGCUCGCCGGAAGACCAAGGGUUCCUGUCCAACGUUAAUCGGGGCAGGGUGAGUCGACCCCUAAGGCGAGGCCGAAAGGCGUAGUCGAUGGGAAACGGGUUAAUAUUCCCGUACUUGGUGUUACUGCGAAGGGGGGACGGAGAAGGCUAUGUUGGCCGGGCGACGGUUGUCCCGGUUUAAGCGUGUAGGUGUGUGUUCCAGGUAAAUCCGGUUCACUUUAACACUGAGGCGUGACGACGAGGCACUACGGUGCUGAAGCAACAAAUGCCCUGCUUCCAGGAAAAGCCUCUAAGCAUCAGGUAACAC